UACGUAGGUGACCAGCGUUGUCCGGAUUUACUGGGCGUAAAGAGCGCGCAGGCGGUCGUUCAAGUCGAGUGUGAAAGCCCCCGGCUCAACUGGGGAGGGUCAUUCCGAUGACUGAUCGACUCGAAGGCAGGAGAGGGUAGUGGAAUUCCCGGUGUAGUGGUGAAAUGCGUAGAUAUCAGGAGGAACACCUGUGGUGUAGACAGCUUACUGGACCACUUCUGACGCUGAGACACGAAAGCGUGGGUAGCAAACAGG
rnacentral:rRNA from 1 species